AGCUUGCUACCUGCCGGCGAGUGGCGAACGGGUGAGUAAUACAUCGGAACGUGCCCUGUAGUGGGGGAUAACUAGUCGAAAGACUAGCUAAUACCGCAUACGACCUGAGGGUGAAAGUGGGGGACCGCAAGGCCUCAUGCUAUAGGAGCGGCCGAUGUCUGAUUAGCUAGUUGGUGGGGUAAAGGCCCACCAAGGCGACGAUCAGUAGCUGGUCUGAGAGGACGAUCAGCCACACUGGGACUGAGACACGGCCCAGACUCCUACGGGAGGCAGCAGUGG
rnacentral:rRNA from 1 species